rnacentral:ncRNA from 1 species
GUAGCCAAAUGCCUUGUCAUGUAAUUAGUGAUGCACAUGACUGGAUUAACUAGAUUCCCACUAUCCCUAUCUACUAUCUAGAGAAACUACAACCAAGGGAAUGGGCUUGGUAUAAUCAACAGGGAAAGAAGACCUUGUUGAGCUUGAAUCUAGUUUGACUUUGUGAAAUUACUUGAGAGGUGUAGAAUAAGUGGGUUUCAUUUUUGGCACAAAUGAAAUACCACUACUUUUAACGUUAUUUUACUUAUUCUGUGGGGUGGAGAUGGGGCAUUUACCCUAUUUUUUCCCAUUAAGACAUGUUUUGAUGGGUCGAUCUGGGUGGAAGAAAUUGUCAGAUGGGGAUUUUGGAUGGGGAGACACAUCUAUUAAAAGAUAACAUAAAAUAUAAUUGGUGUAUAUAGAACAUUUGUAUUUGGGAUAUCCUAGAGAAAAACCACCGUUAUUACCUUUCCCUCCUAAUUUGUAGU